rnacentral:lncRNA from 1 species
AGGAAAUAAACUCAAAUCUCACUUUGGAUAGAGAAACGAUGUAUAAGAUGGAAUGACUCCUAUGUCAAUCCUCAAUUCUCCUCAGAGUCGAUCAAGGACUUACACUAAAAACUCCCCAAUUAAUCCCCAUUCUUACUCUCUUUAUGAGCACAAGUAAUCUUGAAUAUUUUAUAUUUAAAUGUUAUCUCUCCAAGAAUGAAAAUAUCAUGACGACAGGUUUGAAAAAUACAAAAGUACUCUUCAGAAUGCCAAAUAAAAAAAGAUCUCGCAAAAGUGAGUCUCAUAUUUAUUACAAUUCUUCUUAUAGUUGUAAAAAUUAUGACCUUAGACGAACGCAAUACUUUUUAUAAUUGUAACCUGAACAGCAUUUUUAAUUUCCCCCAAAGCUGUUAUGAUUGUUAUUUUAUUCUUGAAGUAAGAAAAUCGAAAUAUGAAGUAAUGACUAUUUCAUAAUAGAUGAAGAGUAGCAAUGAGGUUUUGUUACAAAGUAAAAAGUAUAAGUCCUUGUUGGGGUAUUAUUAAGGAUCAACAUUGCAGUAAUUCCUACCUUUGCCCAUGAACAUAGAGAGUGGGAUUUGUGUUUAUUUUUUUCAUCUUUUAGUUUCUCACAGCUAAUUUAAUUAAAUUUCAUUUUGAGCAUAGCGGAGGGUCAUAUUUUCUACGACUCCAUGUAUUGUGGAUUAAUAUUUAACCCUGUAUAUUUUAUAUUUAAUUCAGGAAACCCUUCGCUGAGCCUUAUAGACCUACAAAUGACCAAAAAAUGAAAUAUAAUAGACACAAGCAAUUUCGAAAUCAUCCUUCCAAUACAAGAUUUUCAAAUGACAUUACUAGACAUUUAACUAAUCCAGACUUUUACGAUGAUAGAGGAACCUACAAUUCAAACCUUAAGUGGUGAUGGACGAAGUUUAUCUGAUGAUCUAAGAUUGAAAAUACUAUCAUAAGAAAUUUGUGUAAAUAUGACUUAACUAAUCAAUGUAUUUAAUAACACUGGCAUUUUACAAAAUACAAUAUUAAAGUCGAGUAGACAAUAAAAAUAAUAUUAUAUGGAAAUAAUAUUUAUAUUUUAA